rnacentral:rRNA from 1 species
GUACACUCCUGCGGGAGGCAGCAGUGGGGAAUAUUGCACAAUGGGCGCAAGCCUGAUGCAGCCAUGCCGCGUGUAUGAAGAAGGCCUUCGGGUUGUAAAGUACUUUCAGCGGGGAGGAAGGCGAUAAGGUUAAUAACCUUGUCGAUUGACGUUACCCGCAGAAGAAGCACCGGCUAACUCCGUGCCAGCAGCCGCGGUAAUACGGAGGGUGCAAGCGUUAAUCGGAAUUACUGGGCGUAAAGCGCACGCAGGCGGUCUGUCAAGUCGGAUGUGAAAUCCCCGGGCUCAACCUGGGAACUGCAUUCGAAACUGGCAGGCUAGAGUCUUGUAGAGGGGGGUAGAAUUCCAGGUGUAGCGGUGAAAUGCGUAGAGAUCUGGAGGAAUACCGGUGGCGAAGGCGGCCCCCUGGACAAAGACUGACGCUCAGGUGCGAAAGCGUGGGGAGCAAACAGGAUUAGAUACCCGUGUAGUCCCAUGA